GAUGAACGCUGGCGGCGUGCCUAAUACAUGCAAGUCGAGCGAACGGACGAGAAGCUUGCUUCUCUGAUGUUAGCGGCGGACGGGUGAGUAACACGUGGAUAACCUACCUAUAAGACUGGGAUAACUUCGGGAAACCGGAGCUAAUACCGGAUAAUAUUUUGAACCGCAUGGUUCAAAAGUGAAAGACGGUCUUGCUGUCACUUAUAGAUGGAUCCGCGCUGCAUUAGCUAGUUGGUAAGGUAACGGCUUACCAAGGCAACGAUGCAUAGCCGACCUGAGAGGGGGGGCGGGCCACACGGAAAGUGGGACACGGUCAAGACCCCAAGGGAGGCAGCAGUAGGGAAUCUUCCGCAAUGGGCGAAAGCCUGACGGAGCAACGCCGCGUGAGUGAUGAAGGUCUUCGGAUCGUAAAACUCUGUUAUUAGGGAAGAACAUAUGUGUAAGUAACUGUGCACAUCUUGACGGUACCUAAUCAGAAAGCCACGGCUAACUACGU
rnacentral:rRNA from 1 species